AUUGAACGCUGGCGGAAUGCUUUACACAUGCAAGUCGAACGGUAGAGGGGGCAACCCCUCGAGAGUGGCGAACGGGUGAGUAAUAUAUCGGAACGUGCCCAGUCGUGGGGGAUAACGUAGCGAAAGCUACGCUAAUACCGCAUACGAUCUAUGGAUGAAAGCGGGGGAUCGCAAGACCUCGCGCGAUUGGAGCGGCCGAUAUCAGAUUAGGUAGUUGGUGAGGUAAAGGCUCACCAAGCCAACGAUCUGUAGCUGGUCUGAGAGGACGACCAGCCACACUGGAACUGAGACACGGUCCAGACUCCUACGGGAGGCAGCAGUGGGGAAUUUUGGACAAUGGACGCAAGUCUGAUCCAGCCAUUCCGCGUGCAGGAUGAAGGCCCUCGGGUUGUAAACUGCUUUUGUACGGAACGAAAAGGUCUCUCUUAAUACGAGGGACUCAUGACGGUACCGUAAGAAUAAGCACCGGCUAACUACGUGCCAGCCGCCGCCGUAA
rnacentral:rRNA from 1 species